rnacentral:rRNA from 1 species
GGAGUUAGCCGGUGCUUCUUCUGCGAGUAACGUCACAGAUGUAAGGUAUUAACUUACACCCUUUCCUCCUCGCUGAAAGUGCUUUACAACCCGAAGGCCUUCUUCACACACGCGGCAUGGCUGCAUCAGGGUUUCCCCCAUUGUGCAAUAUUCCCCACUGCUGCCUCCCGUAGGAGUCUGGGCCGUGUCUCAGUCCCAGUGUGGCUGAUCAUCCUCUCAGACCAGCUAGGGAUCGUCGCCUAGGUGAGCCUUUACCUCACCUACUAGCUAAUCCCACCUGGGCUUAUCCAUCAGCGCAAGGCCCGAAGGUCCCCUGCUUUCCCCCGUAGGGAGUAUGCGGUAUUAGCAGUCGUUUCCAACUGUUAUCCCCCACAAUGGGCAAAUUCCCAGGCAUUACUCACCCGUCCGCCGCUCGUCAUCUUCAAAGCAAGCUUUUGAAAUGUUACCGCUCGACUUGCAUGUGUUAGGCCUGCCGCCAGCGUUCAAUCUGAGCCAUAAUCAAACUCUGA